ACGAACGCUGGCGGCGUGCUUAACACAUGCAAGUCGAACGAGAAUCUACUGAAAGAGUUUUCGGACAAUGGAUGUAGAGGAAAGUGGCGGACGGGUGAGUAACGCGUGAGGAACCUGCCUUGAAGAGGGGGACAACAGUUGGAAACGACUGCUAAUACCGCAUGAAGCAUAGGGGUCGCAUGAUUCUUAUGCCAAAGAUUUAUCGCUUCAAGAUGGCCUCGCGUCUGAUUAGCUAGUUGGCGGGGUAACGGCCCACCAAGGCGACGAUCAGUAGCCGGACUGAGAGGUUGAACGGCCACAUUGGGACUGAGAUACGGCCCAGACUCCUACGGGAGGCAGCAGUGGGGAAUAUUGGGCAAUGGGCGCAAGCCUGACCCAGCAACGCCGCGUGAAGGAAGAAGGCUUUCGGGUUGUAAACUUCUUUUAAGAGGGAAGAGCAGAAGACGGUACCUCUAGAAUAAGCCACGGCUAACUACGUGCCAGCAGCCGCGGUAAAACGUAGGUCACAAGCGUUGUCCGGAAUUACUGGGUGUAAAGGGAGCGCAGGCGGGAGAACACGUUGGAAGUGAAAUCCAUGGGCUCAACCCAUGAACUGCAUUUGAAACUGUAGAUCUUGAGUGUCGGAGGGGCAAUCGGAAUUCCUAGUGUAGCGGUGAAAUGCGUAGAUAUUAGGAGGAACACCAGUGGCGAAGGCGGAUUGCUGGACGAUAACUGACGGUGAGGCGCGAAAGUGUGGGGAGCAAACAGGAUUAGAUACCCUGGUAGUCCACACUGUAAACGAUGAAUACUAGGUGUGCGGGGACUGACCCCCUGCGUGCCGCAGUAAACACAAUAAGUAUUCCACCUGGGGAGUACGAUCGCAAGGUUGAAACUCAAAGGAAUUGACGGGGGCCCGCACAAGCGGUGGAUUAUGUGGUUUAAUUCGAAGCAACGCGAAGAACCUUACCAGGGUUUGACAUCCUGCUAACGAAGUAGAGAUACAUUAGGUGCCCUUCGGGGAAAGCAGAGACAGGUGGUGCAUGGUUGUCGUCAGCUCGUGUCGUGAGAUGUUGGGUUAAGUCCCGCAACGAGCGCAACCCCUAUUGUUAGUUGCUACGCAAGAGCACUCUAGCGAGACUGCCGUUGACAAAACGGAGGAAGGUGGGGACGACGUCAAAUCAUCAUGCCCCUUAUAUCCUGGGCUACACACGUAAUACAAUGGCGGUCAACAGAGGGAAGCAAAGCCGCGAGGCAGAGCAAACCCCCAAAAGCCGUCCCAGUUCGGAUUGUAGGCUGCAACUCGCCUGCAUGAAGUCGGAAUCGCUAGUAAUCGCGGAUCAGCAUGCCGCGGUGAAUACGUUCCCGGGCCUUGUACACACCGCCCGUCACACCAUGAGAGUCGGGAACACCCGAAGUCCGUAGCCUAACCUGAAAAGGAGGGCGCGGCCGAAGGUGGGUUCGAUAAUUGGGGUG
rnacentral:rRNA from 1 species